ensembl:snRNA U6 U6 spliceosomal RNA
GUGCUCGUUUCAGCAGCACAUAUAUUAAAAAUUGGGAGAAGAAAUUAAAAAAAGAGAAGAUUAGCAUGGCCCUACACAAGGAUGACACGCAAAUUCGUGAAGCAUACAUAUUUUUU